rnacentral:rRNA from 1 species
GAUGAACGCUAGCGGGAGGCCUAAUACAUGCAAGUCGAACGGUAACAGGUAGCAAUACGCUGACGAGUGGCGCACGGGUGCGUAACGCGUACACAAUCUGCCUUAUACUGGGGCAUAGCCUUUGGAAACGAAGAAUAAUUCCCCAUAAUAUAUAGAAGAGGCAUCUCUUUUAUAUUAAAGCUCAGGCGGUAUAAGAUGAGUGUGCGUCCGAUUAGGUAGUUGGUGAGGUAACGGCUCACCAAGCCAACGAUCGGUAGCUGGUCUGAGAGGAUGAUCAGCCACACGGGCACUGAGACACGGGCCCGACUCCUACGGGAGGCAGCAGUAGGGAAUAUUGGACAAUGGGCGCAAGCCUGAUCCAGCCAUCCCGCGUGAAGGAUGAAGGUCCUCUGGAUUGUAAACUUCUUUUCUUCGGGAAUAAAAACUGGGGUUCUCCUCAGCUUGAAGGUACCGAAGGAAUAAGCACCGGCUAACUCCGUGCCAGCAGCCGCGGUAAAG